rnacentral:rRNA from 1 species
AUUGAACGCUGGCGGCAGGCCUAACACAUGCAAGUCGAGCGGAUGAAGGGAGCUUGCUUCUGGAUUCAGCGGCGGACGGGUGAGUAAUGCCUAGGAAUCUGCCUGGUAGUGGGGGACAACGUUUCGAAAGGAGCGCUAAUACCGCAUACGUCCUACGGGAGAAAGCAGGGGACCUUCGGGCCUUGCGCUAUCAGAUGAGCCUAGGUCGGAUUAGCUAGUUGGUGAGGUAAUGGCUCACCAAGGCGACGAUCCGUAACUGGUCUGAGAGGAUGAUCAGUCAAACUGGAACUGAGGCACGGUCCAGACUCCUACGGGAGGCAGCAGUGGGGAAUAUUGGACAAUGGGCGAAAGCCUGAUCCAGCCAUGCCGCGUGUGUGAAGAAGGUCUUCGGAUUGUAAAGCACUUUAAGUUGGGAGGAAGGGCAGUAAGUUAAUACCUUGCUGUUUUGACGUUACCGACAGUAUAAGCACCGGCUAACUUCGUGCCAGCCGCCGCAGUAACAC